AGUGUAAGCAUCCGACUGUCGGUGGCGGUCGGUGGGAGGAGGCAAGAGAGUCCACAGCUGCAGGAGGAACGAUGUAAACUCUUCGCUCAUGUCUACGCUCAAACAGGCAGCUGUGAUCUUGGCUCCUCGGCUUUAUCUCAGAGACACUGGCGUUCACCGCAGCCAUCUGACUUUCAGGUGACAUUCCACGUCCCAAGAGCUAGAAUAUAUAGAGGAACCAGAUGAGGUGGUUCUGAAAUCUGGACAGGAUGCCACCCGAACCCGAUUGGGGAGGAGGCCACGGGGAAGACCCAGGACACGUGUAUGUCUGGCCUGGGAACGCCUCGGGAUUCCCCGGGAAGAGCUGGACGAAGUGGCCGGGGAGAGGAAAGUCUGGGCUUCUCUGCUUGGGCUGCUUCCCCGGCGACCCACCUUCAGAUAAGCAGAAGAAGUUGAAUGGUUUGCUUUCUCCAAGAUGAAGAUUCAUCAUAUUCAAAACACAAUAUGAGGUAAUUAAUCACUUCAAUAGCCACCCUUUUGCUCCGAUUAUUUUUUUGCUCACUCUUGGCAUUCUCUCCAUGGGCUUCAAGUCAGGUAGUCACCUGGAACGGUUUUCACUUCACAGGUGUGCUUGAAGCUCAUCCAGAGAAUGCCGAGAGUGAUUAAAGCAAGGGGUGGCUAUUUUGAAGAAACUACAAUAUAAAACAUAUUUGCAGUUUUUUUUUUUGUUAAGUACAUAACUCCGCAUGUGUUCAGUCAUAGUUUUGAUGUGACAAUCUACAAUGUCA